rnacentral:rRNA from 1 species
CAGCCGCCGCGGGAAUACGAAGGGUGCAAGCGUUACUCGGAAUUACUGGGCGUAAAGCGUGCGUAGGUGGUGGUUUAAGUCCGUUGUGAAAGCCCUGGGCUCAACCUGGGAAUUGCAGUGGAUACUGGGUCACUAGAGUGUGGUAGAGGAUAGUGGAAUUUCCGGUGUAGCAGUGAAAUGCGUAGAGAUCGGAAGGAACAUCUGUGGCGAAGGCGACUAUCUGGGCCAACACUGACACUAAGGCACGAAAGCGUGGGGAGCAAACAGGAUUAGAUACCCGGUAGUCCCUGUCUCUUAUACA